GGAGGGCUCGCAUAAUGGUAUUGCAGCAGUCUUGAAAACUGCCGACCGCAAGGUCAUAAGAGUUCGAAUCCCUUGCCCUCCG
rnacentral:tRNA from 1 species